AGAAAAGUUACCCCAAGGAUAAUAAGCUGGUCGCCCCCGAUAGUCCGUAUUGACGGGGCGGUUUGGUAUUUCGCUGUCGGCUCUCCCUAUCCUGGUUGUGCAGAAGCAACCAAGGGUGUCGGAGUUCACGCAUUAAAAGGGAUCGUUAGCUGGGUUAAGAACGUCGCGAGACAGUUUGUAUGAUAUCUACUAGGUGUGUUGUUGUCUGAGUGGAACAAGUUUCUAGUACGAGAGGAACGGAACUUGGGUGCCUCUGGUGAGCAGUUGUCACAUGGCAGGCUGCAUAGCUACGCACUAAUGGAUAAGAGCUGAAUGCAUCUAAGCUCGAAGCCAUUCGCAAAACGAGACAACUAAGGCCGUCAAAGAAGAUGACGUUGAUAGAGCUCUUGUGUAAGAUUUGAGGUUCGCCGAAAAUUUCAGC
rnacentral:rRNA from 1 species